AUCCUUGUACUCUGCCAUCACCAAUCCUGUACAUGUUAUGGAUUCUUUUAUGGAUUCUUUUCUUGUGCAUGUGAUUGAUAGGCACAAGAGAGGUUACACAUAUAGGGUAGGAACCCUCGGGGGCCAAGGCACCUAGGGCCGGUGCCCCAUGACAGCUAAGGUAACCAGUCCUACUAGGGAAACCUCAAUCACAUGCAGGUGAGAGGAAUCAAACCUAAUAAGGGAACAAGAGAUAUAAUAAUCAGCCUAUUAUAGGAGAGAUUCUCUGUCUAACAUGAACAUCAAGUUGCUUUAAUGUUCAUCCAAUAGAAACUAUUAAUGACAGAUUGAUCCUAAUGGUAGCUGCCUUGAUCACAGGAGCGCCAUUAGUGGAGGAGAGAGGAGUGCCAGCGACUAGGGAUAGAAGGGAGGAGAGGAGGGGGAGUGUAGACCAUGGGGGCUUGGCCGCCGCCAUCGGCCGCCAAUUUCUAGCGGCGGUGGCUAGGGGAGCAGAGGGGAAGGAGACUGGCUAGAUAACAUGUUGGAGAAAUAAAACCCUAAUUGGUAGAUAACUUGCAGUAUUACACAUAUGCAAGGUUUUCAAGUCGACAAGGUACCGACUUGAUGACUAGUUGAUAAUUCAGUCGACUAGUCGUCGACUUGCCAAUAUAGUGGCUGUUUUGCCUAUAUAAUGGUUUCAUAUAGACAAUAUAGCAUUUAUAUAUGAAUAAAGAGCAUGUUUUACCUCAUUUGAAGCCUGAAAUUGAACAAAACUGAAAUAAACAGCAAGUCUUACCUCAUUUGAAGCCUCAAACUGAACCAAAUCAGCCACAUAAGUGAUAAGUCAUAAACUCAUAAGUCAUAACAGCCAUAUAGUUCAAAUUGGAAAAUAAAUAGCAAGAAAAUAUAGUUCAAACUUGAAAGGAAAUAAGCUCCAUAAGAUAGCUAAGCUGCUGCUGCAGCUAGAUAGAUACUCGAUAGUAGAUACCCUAAAUAUCUCCCAAUUCAAGAUCAUCCAUUGCAUGUUCUGCCAAAUCAAGAAAAUAUGUUGUGUAAUGGGUCUUUGGGCUGUUUGGGCUGAACUGGGGCACAAGUCAGCUGACUUGCCAGACCAAGUCGGCGACUAGUCGACUGAGAAUUUCCAGUCGUUGACAAGUCGCCCGACUUGCCAGAAAAGUCGAGCCGGCUCCCCAAGUUGAGCUCCCAGGACCGACUGGACGACUAGUCGCCGACUAGUCGACGACUUGAAAACAGGGCACAUAUGUACAUAUAUUCUACCCCUAAUGGACUAGGCUCUAGGCCCAUAACACAAACGUACAAGUAGUCUAACAUUGAGAAGGAUCAACUUUGGUGCAUUGCUGGCGCCAAGGGGCUAGCGUAGCCUGAUUGGAGGUAGCAGGUUUGAUUAGCUGUUAGAUCGACUUGUGUUUUUUUGAAGAAACAAGCAUGAUUGUAGCUCUGUAAUCUGUGCAUCUGUGUGUGUGGGUAUAUUGCAUGUUUUUGUGUGCCUUGUAUUUUUAUAUUCAAGGAAAAAAAUGCACCUCAACACGUCUUCGUCCACGUAUUAGAAAUUCCAUUAUUUAUUUUUCGCAGUACUCCGUGGAGACAUCUCCAUUCUGUAUCCCAUGCAUAUCCAUAUUGAAUUCAUAUCUGGUACAUGAUACGAGGGUGCCUUAUGUAUCCAUGUAACUUAGGCUAUUUGUUGUUGUUAGCACUUUUGCUGCAUUACUUGAUGUUAGAGUAACUAUGUAUUCCUUGUAAUGGGGUCUUGUGUAAUGGGCUUAGGCCCAACAACUCUAAUAUAUACAUCACCCAACCCAAGUUAGGGUUAAGGUUUACAACCUUCAAAAUGGUAUCAAAGCUAGGUUUAGCCCCCCUCUAUCCCUCCUACGAUCACCUUCGUGUAUUUUGGUGUGCCUCCUAUCCUAAUCUUUCUGCCAUUGCCCCUCAUAAGCUUGCGCCCCGUUCCACUCGUUGCAUCUUCCUUGGGUACUCCUCUGAUCACAAGGGGUACCGGUGCCUAGACCUCUCCACUCACCGAGUUCUUGUCUCCCGUCAUGUCGUCUUCGACGAGUCUGACUUCCCUUUCUUCGUAUCCUCUUCCGCUGCCUCCUCUGAGUAGGACACCCUCCUCGAGUGCGGAUUCUAUUGCUCUUUCUGUCGUGCCACACGUGGCCUCGACCCCUCUCGCGCUGCCACGUGUGGCCCCGGCAUCCCCCGCGCUUCCACGCGCAGCCCCUCCGCCCUUCGUCGACACGACUUCAUCGCGCUUUGCGGACCCUGUUCACGUCUACCAGCGAUGUGGCCGGGCUGCUGCCCUAGCUCCCUCUCGCACGGAGCCGCAGGUGUAUCACCUCGUUGCCCUUUGUUGGGACCCCGGGCAUGUCCACCGUCACGCAUCGGGCCGCUGGUGUCCUCUGGCCUGCCGAUCGACUAGUCCUCUUGGCGUCCAACUCUUCUACGCUCUCCCUCGAGCCAUCAUAUGCUUGUGGUGCGCUCGUCGAACCCAACUGGCGCCACACCAUGGAGGAUUACGAGGCCCUGCUGGCGAACCGUACCUGGGACCUGGUGCCACGCCCCUUGAUGCCAAUGUGGUCACCGGGAAAUGGAUCUUCAAGCACAAGAUGAAGGCGAACGGCCCUCUGGAUCGAUACAAGGCUCGUUGGGUCCUAUGGGGUUUCACCCAACGUCCCGAGGUGGACUAUGACGAGACUUUCAGCCCCGUGGUGAAGCCUGGCACCAUCCGGACUGUUCUGACUGGCUCUCUCACGACCUGGCUGGUGCAUCAGCUCGAUGUCAAGAAUGCCUUCCUCCAUGGUACUCUGAGAGAGACUGUGUACUGCUCCCAGCCGGUGGGCUUUGGUGGACCCGGCUCACUCCGACAUGGUUUGCAAACUCAACCGGUCUCUCUACAGUCUCAAGUAGGCUCCCCGCGCCUGGUACAGUCGCUUCGUCACCUUCUUGCUCUCACAGGCCUUUGUCGAGGCCAUGGUUUAAAAGUCGUCGCCUAGGCGUCGCCUAGGCGACGCCUAGGCGUCCAGGCGGGGAAAUCUUCUAGGCGUCGGCGCCGCCCAGAGGAAACCGUGUAUGGCGUCCGCCUUGGCGAGGUAGGCGUCCGCCUUGGCGUCGUAGGCGUCUGGGCGACGCCUUUUCCUCCCUGGGCGACGCCUUAUCUCGUUUUGGGCUUUAGGGUUUUGGCGGCUAGGCGCGCGUUUUGUUUUGGGCCUGUUCCACUGUGCGCGCGCGGCAAAAAUACAUUGUGCGUGCGCGGCGCCGCGGCUGCUCCUUCGCGCGCAAAUCUCUCUGCGCUCUCUCCCUGCUGCUCCUCUCUCCCUGCGCGCGGCGGCUGCUCCUCUCUCCCUGCGCGCGGCGGCUGCUCUGCGCGCGGCGGCUGCUGCGUUCUCCCUGCGCGCGCGCGGCUGCUGCGUGCUCCUAGCGCGCGGCUCCCUGCUACCAGCGCGCGGCUGCUGCUCUCUGCGCGUGGUCUUGCGGCUCCCUGCUCCUUGCCGCAGUGCUAGCUGCUGCUGCUGACUGCGCAACGAGUAGGUUUCUGUCAAGUGUCAAGACUGCAGCGACUAGCGACAAGCCGACAACAUAAUGUCUUCUCGAAAUGAAGCUCCAUCUUCUGUGGCUGGUGAGUACGAUCCGAAGAGCGAUCCUACCCGGAAGCCACGGAAGUCUACUGAUCCAGGGUGGAAGUAUGGAUUUUGGCCAGAUCUUCAAAAUAAAGAUAAGGUGGAAUGCACCCUAUGUGGCCAGGUUGUUAGUGGAGGGAUAAAGAGGUUAAAGCAACAUUUGGCAGGGGCAUAUGGAGAUGCAAAGUUAUGUCCCAAGGCUACCAGUGGAAUAAGGAAGGAGAUGACAAGUUAUUUGGAGGCAAACAAGAGAAAAAGACCAAUGUUUCUAGAUGAAGAUGAAGAAGAUGAUGAAGUGGUGGAGGUGGCAGCAGCAGAUGGGACGAAUGAUACAUCUGCUGUGGAGUCUCAAGCAUCCAAGGUGCAGCCUAGUUCUGGUACAGCAGCCAAAAAAAGACAAUCGACCUUGCAAUUUAAGGCAAACAGUAAAGCACAGCAAAAGACAGCCAAGUCCGUAGUUGAGAUGUUGCGGAAAACACCAGAGGAGGUGGUGGAUGAGAGACUUUCAGGCUCUUAUCAGCCCACAAUCUUGGCUAGUGCAAAAAGCAAGGAGGACAAACACUAUGUGGACAUGCAGUGGGCUUUGUUCUUCUAUGAGUGCGGUGUACCUUUCAAUGCCGCAGCAGCUAGGCAGUUUCAGAUUGCAAUUGAGGCCACAGCACAGUUUGGUUCAGGGUAUAAGCCCCCAACACCUUACCAACUAGGCGAGCCAUUGCUACAAGAGGCUGUGAAGACAACAAAUACAAUGAGGGAGGAACAUGAGCGUGCAUGGAAACACUAUGGUUGCACACUCAUGUCUGAUGGAUGGUCUGAUAGGAGGGGACGCCAUCUCAUUAACUUCUUAGUGAACAGCCCAGAGGGCACUUAUUUUUUAGAGUCCGUUGAUGCAUCUAGUGAAGUACAUGAUGCAUACAUGCUUGCUGAUUUGCUUGAGAAAAAAGUUGAUGAGAUUGGGAGAGACAAGGUUGUACAAGUUGUUACUGAUAAUGGUGCCAAUUACAAAGCUGCAGGCAAGCUUCUAAUGGAGAGGAUUCCUACUUUAUUUUGGAGUCCAUGUGCUGCACAUUGCUUGGACCUAAUGUUGGAGGACAUAGGAAACUUGAAGGAAUUCAAGAAACCAAUUGCACGUGCAAGGCGUGUGACAACUUUCAUAUACCGACACGGGAGAAUUCUUGCUGCCAUGAGAGAGAAAACUGGUGGGGCUGAUCUUGUGAGGCCUGCAGCCACUCGUUUUGCUACUUCCUUUCUCACAUUGAAGAGCUUGUACAAGCACAAGGAUGCUUUGAAGGCUUUAUUUGCAAGCACAGCUUGGACUGAUAACAGAUUGUCAAAGACUAGUGCUGGAUUGGAUGUGUAUAACAUUGUCUUCUCCACACAGUUUUGGAAUUCAGUAGAAGAUUGCCUUAGAGCUUCGGGGCCACUACUUAUUGUACUUAGGGUGGUAGAUGGAGAUGAGAGGCCAGCUAUGCCAGAGGUCCAAGCAUUGAUGAAAUGUGCAAAGGAAAAGAUCAAUCAAAGCUUUGCUGUCCAAAGCAAGAAGACUUUACUCAAGAAAAUCAUAACUAUAAUUGAACGGCGUUGGGAGAAACAAAUGGAUCACCCAUUGUAUGGGGCUGCAAUGUAUUUGAACCCAGGAAAGUUGCAUCCUCUCAUAAGAAAUGAUGAUGAUGCUACUGUUGGUCAGCUAAGAGGUUGCUUUCUUGAUGUGCUUGCAAGAAUGGUAGAUGAUGAGGAAACUAGAGACAAGAUCAAUUCUCAAGCAAUGGAUUACGAGUUUCUUAGAGGAGCAGCUUUUUCAAAUAAGAUGGCCAAAGAUAACCUACAAACUAUGACCCCACUUGAGUGGUGGCGUUCGUAUGGUGGUCGUGCUAUUGAGUUACAGAGAUUUGCUAGACGUUUGGUGAGUCUUUGUGCGUCUUCAUCAGGUUGUGAACGCAAUUGGAGUACCUUUGAAUUUAUCCAUACAAAGAAAAGAAACCGAUUGUUGCAUAAGAGGUUGAAUUCUAUUGUCUUCAUUUCCUACAACAGAAAGAUGAAAGCUAGGUUCCAAAAACUACGCCAGAAGAAGGGGAAAAACUUUGAUCCAUUGGUUCAUGAGGACUUCAACUGGGACAAUGAGUGGGCUGAUUCUUUGCAUGUAGUCCCUGAAGGUGGGCGUGGGUGUGAGUGUGACCUUACAUGGGACCUUGUGGAUAAUGCCAUUGGAGCAUCGCAAGCACUUCGUGGCCGAAACUUACCAAGAAGGGCCCAUAAUGUGUAUUCAAGAAGAAAUUCUGUUGCUGCACAAAACAUGUCAGAGGCUGAAGAGGAAGAUGAAGAUGAAGAUGAAGAUGUUCCACAUGACGAUGCAGAAAUCACAGAUUGUGAAGAUGAAUCUAAUGGUGGCAAUGCUGGUGAAGAAGGGGAGGCACCCAAUAUCCCAGGAGAGUUUGAUGAUGAUUUUUGAGCGACGAGAGACAGGGAGAGUAGCUAUUGCUAGAUUGCAUUAGCAAUUUAGCAUAUUUGCUGCAUUACUAACUGCAGCUAGUUACUAUUAAUUAUGCCAUUACAAACUAUCUAUGUGGCUAUUUCAGAUUUGGACAUUUGGUAUUGUGUUGUUUUAAAUUUUGUGACUUGUUGUUGUUCCUUUAGAAACUACUUUGUGGCUAUUUCAUAUCCAUUAUUAUGCUAUUGUGAAUUUGUGAUGAUUUCUAGUUUAUGAGCUGUAACAGCUGUUUGGUUGCUUGGUAUUUUGUAACAGCUCACAGCUGUUUGUAACAUCUACUAAGGCGUCGCCUAGGCGCCCGCCUAAGUCGCCUAGGCGGUCAGGCGGUGGCUGGGCGCCUAGUUCCGCCUAGCCGCCUUUUAAACCAUGGUCGAGGCCAAGGCGGACACCUUGUGCGUCUUCCGCCCUGGCGUGGACACGACAUACCUCCUCUACGUCAACGGCAUCGUCCUCACAACCUCCUCCCCCGACCUCCUGCGGCGCAUCAUCUCAUCUCUCCAGCAGGAGUUCACCAUGAAGACCUGGGUGAGUUGCACCACUUCCUGGGGAUCACCGUCGACCGCAGCCCCUAGGGCCUGUUCCUCCACCAGCGCCAGUACACUGUCGACAUCCUCGAGCGCGCUGGCAUGGCUGACUGUAAGCCCUGCUCGACUCCGCUGGACACUCAUGGCAAGGUCCGCCGACGCCAGCCCUCCGAUGGUUGAUCCGACCAGCUAUCAGAGUCUUGCCGGGGCUCUGCAAUACCUCGUCUUCACCCGCCCUGACAUCACCUAUGCCGUCUAGCAGGUGUGCUUUCAUAUGCACGCUCCGCGGGAGCCACAUCUCACCGCCAUGAAGCGGAUCCUUAGGUACCUCCAAGGCACCACCGACUUCGGCCUUCUUCGCCGAUCUGCAACCACCAAUGUCGCCGUCUACAACAACGCUGAUUGGGGUGGUUGUCCCGACACCCGUUGGUCCACUUUCAGUUUCGCCGUUUUCCUUGGAGACAAUAUCAUCUCCUAGUCUUCGAAGUGGCAGUCCGUCGUCUCCGGCUCCAGCGCCGAGGCCGAGUACCGCGCCGUGGCCAAUGGCGUCGCUGAGGCGGUGUGGCUUCGUUAGCUGCUCCAGGAGCUGCACAGUCCGCUGACGCGGAGCACCCUUGUCUAUUGUGACAACGUCAGCGCCAUGUACCUCUCCACCAACCUCGUCUAGCAUCAGCGCACGAAGCAUGUCGAGCUCGACCUCCACUUUGUUCGCGAGCGGGUUGCACUCGGAGAUGUGUAGGUUCUUCAUGUCCCGACCACUUCUCAGUUCGCCGACAUUUUCACCAAGGGCUUCCCUACGUUGGUGUUUGAGGACUUUCGGUCCAGUCUCAACAUGUCCCGUGGCUAGAGUUUCGACUGCGGGGGGUGUUAAAGUAACUGUGUAUUCCUUAUAAUGGGGUCUUGUGUAAUGGGCUUAGGCCCAGCAACUCUAAUACAAAUAUAUCACCCAAACCGAGUUAGGGUUAGGGUUUACAGCCAUACUUGAUCAUAUUUUAUUAGACGAAACAUCUUUUACCAUAUGCCCAGCUAACUAAGCAUUCAUUUUACAGCUUGGAAAGACAACUGAACUCUCAAGGCGUGAAAGGGAGGAGCUUGAGAAACAAAAAGCUCAUGAACGUUAUAUGAAACUUCAGGAGCAAGGAAAAACAGAACAAGCACGGAAAGAUUUGGAACGUCUUGCUUUAAUAAGACAGCAAAGGGCUGAUGCUGCAAAGAAACGCGAUGAGGAGAAAGCUGCCAAGGAGCAGAGGAAGUCGGAAGCACGGAAGUAACUGCAAUAUCAUGGACGAUGAGACCACGAAAGCAUGAUCUGCGUUAGUUGGAUAUUUAUUUCUAAUGCAUCAGUUAUCUUGUUAUAAACCUGGUCCCUAUUCUGUAUCCCCAUAAAAUAUGCAUUGACAAAAUUAGUAACAGUCUUGUGGGCGUGUCUUCCUGUAAACUUGAGCUUGACAAAAUUAGAAAGUAGUAUUAAGGUCAGCUUAUGCGAAACUGGCUCUUU